rnacentral:lncRNA from 1 species
CUUUGAAGGGUAAUAUUAUUAAAAAAAAUAAAAGAAGUCCCCACUUUCUUUUCUUGAUAUUGACAUCAAGAAUGAGAUUGCUAAUGUGGGCGAGAGAAUGAUUCAAAAUGAUUUUUGGAUGUUUUUUUUCCUUCCUUUGAAAAUUUAGGUGAAGUUAAUUAUGGAAUGGCAGCAGCGUCCUAACAGAACACCCACCUGGAUACAGAGCCCUGUGCUGCCUGCAGUCCUGUCACAGAUUAAUUAACACCAGACAGCCCAGCCCUCUGUCCUCACAGCACAGCUGCCCUCCAGACAGUGCUCCAAAAUGGACAGGAAGGUGCUACCACAGCAUGAAAAAGAGCUGGAGGAUAGCUGAAGGCGCCUUCAGUGUUCCCUGCAUCUGCUUCAUCUCAGGUUUAUUUGAGCAAUACGUCAUCACUCCACCCAUGAGACAUCCCUGGUAUCUGCAGGCUCUGCAGACCUCCUAAAGGCCUGCUGAGGCUCCACUGCCUCCCAGGGCAUAUGUAUUCUGUACCAUAUCUUAUAGUAAGUGCCUGGAAACCAGCAUUUAAAACAAAAAACCAAAACAAAACAAAGCACCCUAGGCAAAAAGGACCUGAGAUGUGAAAAUGGAAUUAAUGUCAGUGAAUGGAUGAGAAUCUUCCAGGCUUGGUUCAUGCAGAAGUGCCAUAAUCCCUUCCCCACUCUGCAUGCACAUGGGCUUCAU